rnacentral:rRNA from 1 species
UGCACGGAAUAUUAGGACAAUGGGGGAAACGCCUGAUCCAGCCAUGCCGCGUGCGGGAAGACUGCCCUAUGGGUUGUAAACUGCUUUUAUUGGGGAAGAAACGUACCUACGUGUAGGUGCUUGACGGGACCGUACGAAUAAAGAUCGGCUAACUCCAUGCCAGCACCCGCGGUAA